rnacentral:rRNA from 1 species
AGGACGAACGCUGGCGGCGUGCCUAACACAUGCAAGUCGAGCGAUGAAACCCUUCGGGGUGGAUUAGCGGCGGACGGGUGAGUAACACGUGGGUAACCUGCCUCAAAGAGGGGGAUAGCCUCCCGAAAGGGAGAUUAAUACCGCAUAACAUUAUUUCUUCGCAUGAAGAGAUAAUCAAAGGAGUAAUCCGCUUUGAGAUGGACCCGCGGCGCAUUAGCUAGUUGGUGAGGUAAUGGCUCACCAAGGCGACGAUGCGUAGCCGACCUGAGAGGGUGAUCGGCCACAUUGGAACUGAGAUACGGUCCAGACUCCUACGGGAGGCAGCAGUGGGGAAUAUUGCGCAAUGGGGGAAACCCUGACGCCAGCAACGCCGCGUGGGUGAAGAAGGCCUUCGGGUUGUAAAGCUCUGUCUUCUGGGACGAUAAUGACGGUACCAGAGGAGGAAGCCACGGCUAACUACGUGCCAGCCGCUGC